UACGUAGGCGGAAGAUUAAGUCAGUGGUGAAAUCCUGCAGCUUAACUGUAGAACUGUCAUUGAUACUGGUUUUCUUGAAUUUAGUUGAGGUAGGCGGAAUGUGUAAUGUAGCGGUGAAAUGCUUAGAUGUUACACAGAACACCGAUUGCGAAGGCAGCUUACUAAACUAUGAUUGACGCUGAGGUACGAAAGCGUGGGGAGCGAACAGGAUUAGAUACCCUGGUAGUCC
rnacentral:rRNA from 1 species